GAUGAACGCUAGCGGCAGGCCUAAUACAUGCAAGUCGAACGGUGUCUUCGGACAUAGUGGCGCACGGGUGCGUAACACGUAUGCAACCUACCUUACAUUGGGGGAUAGCCUUUCGAAAGGGAGAUUAAUACCGCAUAAGACAGUAGCUGGGCAUCCAGCAGCUGUUAAAGAUUUAUCGAUGCAAGCUGGGCAUGCGUCCAAUUAGCUAGUUGGGGAGGUAACGGCUCACCAAGGCAAUGAUUGGUAGGGGAACUGAGAGGUCAAUCCCCCACACUGGCACUGAGAUACGGGCCAGACUCCUACGGGAGGCAGCAGUAGGGAAUAUUGGGCAAUGGACGCAAGUCUGACCCAGCCAUGCCGCGUGCAGGAUGAAGGCGUUAUGCGUUGUAAACUGCUUUUAUACAGGAAGAAACGACUCUUGCGAGAGGCAUUGACGGCACUGUAUGAAUAAGCACCGGCUAACUCCGUGCCAGCCGCCGCGGUAAAAC
rnacentral:rRNA from 1 species